CAUGCUACUAUUACUAUUUUGGUUUUGAUUUCUUUCACUGCUGAUAUUCCCAAUCUGAAGCGCACCAAAGUAACGUGGGUCUUUCUCGCUGUCUUUCUUUUGGAUUUAAUCGAAUUAUACAAAAUGACUUAGACUUAGACAUUGCUGGAGUGAUGGUUAAUUAUUGAUAUAGCCUGCUUUUCUGCAAAGAGAUGUUCAAGAGAAUGAAGGGUAUUUAUACUACAUGGACUUUGCAGGAUCUGGCUUUGUGCAUAAUAGCUGUAGUGUUCUGUUCCACACAGGGUUCAGUAAUGACAAGCAAUCAAGAUGUGGAAUUAGGAGGCAAUGUCACUUUGAGAUGUACUUUAUUACAACAGCCUAAUAUUUACCAAGUCACAUGGAAAAAACAAAAGAAUGGAAAUGAUGAAAACAUUGCAACAUACGAGAAAGAUAUAGGUUCAUCUGUUUUAAAAUACAAAGAUCGAAUCACUUUUAUAUUUUGGAGCCCUCAAGAUACUGCUAUUCAUUUGUCGAAUGUGAGCACUGAAGAUAAUGGUUGCUACCAGUGUGCAUUUUUUUUGUUUCCUAUAGGGCCUGUCAUAGGAAAACCCUGUCUUUCUGUUUAUGAUGAUCUCAAAACAUCUACAGACUACACCAUCUCUGAUAACCACUUGCGUGCCAGCUGUUUAGCAACUGGUUUUCCAAGACCGAACAUUUCAUGGUUUCCAUCAGGAGGUGAAAAGAAAGAAAUGGAUAUCACAAACCCAAACGGCACAUUAUCGGUCAUAAGCAACAUUUUUAUAAGCAAAUCAAAUGUUGAACAAGGGCUGACUUGCCACAUUUUUCACAGAGGAAAAAUAAUAAGCAUUGAAGUGCUAGGAAAAGAAAUAGACCAUACAAAAAAAUCUUUUCCUGUGGUACCAGUUGUAUUGGCUUUGAUUCUUGUGAUCCUAGUUAUUGUUGUGGGUGUAUGCUGCUGGAGACGACAAAGGAAAAAACAUAGAGCAUUAUAAAAGUACAGAAGCCUCCCCUAGUACCCACAUAACUAGGGCUUUACUUAGAAGGAUUUUAACAUUCCUACACACCAUGCCCCUGCUCACCUCAAAUAUUUUGUAAGCUCCCUUUCAAACUAUGCCUCUGUCCUUUUGUGGUGGUCAAGUGAAGGACAUUAUCAUUAUCCGCAUAUAGACGAGAGGUCGAACGACUAGCCUUGUGGUACAACCAAAACAAUCUGGUACUGAACACACUCAAAACCGUAGAAAUGGUGGUAGACUUUAGGAGAAACCCUUCCAUACUUCCACCUCUCACAAUACUAGACAACACAGUAUCAGCAGUAGAAACCUUCAAAUUUCUAGGUUCUAUCAUAUCGCAAGAUCUAAAAUGAACAGCUAAUAUCAAAAACAUCAUUAAAAAAGGACAGCAAAGAAUGUUCUUUCUGCGCCAACUAAGUAAGCUCAAACUGCCCAAGGAGCUGCUGAUUCAGUUCUACAGAGGAAUUAUUGAGUCUGUCAUUUGCACCUCUAUAACUGUCUGGUUCGGUUCUGCAACCCAACAAGAAAAACACAGACUUCAGAGGAUAAUUAGAACUGCAGAAAAAAUAAUUGCUACCAACCUGCCUUCCAUUGAGGACCUGUAUACUGCACGAAUCAAGAAGAGGGCUGUGAAAAUAUUUACAGACCCCUCGCAUCCUGGACAUAAACUGUUUCAACUCCUACCCUCAAAACGACGCUAUAGAGCACUGCACAUCAGAACAACUAGACACAAGAACAGUUUUUUCCCGAAGGCCAUCACUCUGCUAAACAAAUAAUUCCAUCAACACUGUCAAACUAUUUACUAUUUUAUGACUUGUGGUUACUAGAAUAAACUUAUUUCUUACAUUCUAGUUGGCGGCUUGUGGGCAUCAGUAUGUUGGCUUGCAGUGUACUGCAUUACAUAGGAUACAUUAAUUACAUAGCAUGUUUCAAGUAAGACUGGCCAAAAUUCAGCAAAACAGACCAUUAGCAGGAAUGUUACAGAUAGCCCAGAGACAGCUAAGGUUGGUUAUCCUUUAUCUGCUCUCUUAUUAAAAAGAAUUACAUGAAAAUCUUGAUUAACAAAGCCAUGAUGGAUGGCAGAGGCAAAUAUAUCUGGUCUGGAACUGGUGAUGACCACAGUAUUACAACUUAGAAUGUAUGAGGAGGAAGUGGUAAAGGUUUUGAACGGAUGAAUUCAGUGAAAUAAAGAAAAAUGAAUACAAUAUGUAUUAGAAAAAGGAUUUUGCUGCAUGUAAUACUUCAUACUUCAACUGCCCUGAAAAUCAGCUUGCUGUAAUUUAUGGACCAAGAAACAAGUCACCCGUAAUUUAAAAUGAUCCUUUUUCUUUUCCACUUCAACAAGGAGGUUUGCUUGUUUUUGCAAUGGCUUUUGGCUUGUACCUGACAAAAGACCGAUGUAGAAAAAUGGAAAGAAAGGCUAAUAAAAUCCAUUUCCUGAAUGUGUAGAAGGAAGAGGAGAUGCUGAGGAUUAAAUAGGCAGCUAGAGCCGUUCAUACAAAAAGGAAGAGAUAAAGGCUCAGGGGAAGCGAUGCUGUUUUGAAGAACUAGCAACUCUUUUUGCAAGUCCCUUCACUUUCUGCUCAAUCUGCGUUAACUUUUUCUCACAUUCCUUGUAGGGGGGAUAACAUUCUGGGAAGAAUAAAACUGUCUACUGUUGAUCUCACCCCUUUCCUAAGAGGUCUAUAAGGGGCGUGCAUAAGAGCACAAACAUGCCUACUGUCCCUGUCCUACUGUUGCUUCAUGCUUAUACUUAUGUAUGGUGUUAUGACAAAUAAAUAAAAUAAAAUAAAAUAAAUAAAUAAAUAUUCAAUAUGCCCACUAAAUUUUGCAACUCAGUUGCAAAAAUUGCUCUGUCUACUCUCAAACAUUUUGCUUUGAUGGACAAUGGAAAGGGAUCUUUUCCAAAACAGUAGCAUUGUGUAAUAAGCAGGAUGUAUUUCUCCGGGAAAAAAAACUGACCUUGCCCCCUUUCUUUUAUUUUACUGAUGUUUACAUAAGCAGCUAUUGAAAGUAAAACCUCUCCCCUGUCAAAUUUAUCUUGUGGUGAUUUCCUGGAUAUAAUUUUCUUUUCACUUUAGCCUACAGCCCUGCGAUUCCUUGUAGCUCUUCCAUUCAAAUAUUAAUUGGGUCCAAACCUGCUUAUUCAUAAGUCCCAAACCUGACUCAAACCUGUCCCCCCCCCCCCCCCCCGUCGAAAGUCAUUCAAUGUAAUAGCAUGUGGGGAAUGAAUUUGAAAGAUGGGGUAAAAAGAUAAACAGUCAGUUAAGAGAGAACAGCUGCAUAGUGAGAGGAGAGAAAGUGAAGCAAGAAGAUUAGGCUCCCUGGGUAAUUGGAUUAUAAAGGUGAUGGCAGGAGAAUUCCACUUUCAGACUUGCAAGAUGCUGUUACUGUAGUUUUACAAGACAGUAGAAUUUAGCUUAUGUGCUUUUCUUUGCUUAAUGAGCUUGACAUCCAGAUAGUGCACCAUUAAUACCAUUAAAUACCAUUACCAUUGUAUUUGGGCUAGAAGGGACUUAAGUUAUUAGUAAAAUAUAGAUUACAGGCUCCUUAGAGUAGAUUAGGGCUUUGGAGAAAGAACAAAUAAAUUGGAAGAAAGAAGUGCUCCCAAAAAUAAACAUUUCAGAAUAUUUUUCUUGGAUAUCUAUAUGAUCUCUUCCAGACCCUCAUAUAGCUGGCACAAAUGAUAUAUAUUUUUGAUCAUAAUAUCACAAUUCUAUGAAAGCAUAAGGUUGCUUAGAAUUCUAACAUGGGAACAUUUAACACUGCAUUUUGCCCUCUCAGUACCGUACUCAGAAAUCUUGACUGAUAACGGUAUGUGGAGGCUAGACCAGGGGACAAAACAAAACAAAACAGAACUACAUGGAAACAUUUUUCUGCCGUCAACUUUUUAAAAAACUGAUUUGCCAAUAUAUUGGUAUGGUUAAUUGCUAACUGUAAUAUAAGGGAGGGUAUUGGGGGACGAGAGAAUUUGAAGGGAGAAUUUUAUAGGAUAGGCAAGAUUGAAGAUAAAAGAGUGAGCAAUGGAGUAGACUGUUUUAAGUGAAGGGUAUGCAGUUUGUAGAAUGCUACAAAUAAAGAGUUAGACUAAAGGCAAGAGAUGGUCGUAGAUGCUAAAAGAUAUUGGUCUAAAAUCCACACAUGUUUGGAAAAGAUGAUAAAGAAACAUAUUGACUUUAAACCAGAGGUUUUUUUAAUUGGGAAUCGUAGCUGAAACAUAUAGUAGAGAAUUGAGAUAUUUGACUGUAAAUGUUUUGACAGCAGCAAGCAUUGUAUUUGCUAAAAAUUGGAAAAAUGAAAAAUUAUUAUCGCAAGAUGAAAUUAUUAGGAAAAUGAUGGAGCACGCAGAAAUGAGUAAAUUGACUCUAGAAAUUAGAGAACAAGAGGACAAACAAUUUUAUAAGAUAUGGGAUCUCUUUUAUCAAUGGUUAGAAGGGGAAUUAUGUUAAAGGGAAUUAAGAAAGAUUAGAAUAUAAGGAAAUGUUUAAAUUAUAUAAUAAUAAUAACAGAGUUGGAAGGGACCUUGGAGGUCUUCUAGUCCAACCCCCUGCCCAGGCAGGAAACCCUACACCAUUUCAGACAAAUGGUUAUCCAACAUUUUCUUAAAAAUUUCCAGUGUUGGAGCAUUCACAACUUCUGCAGGCAAGUUGUUCCACUGGUUAAUUGUUCUAACUCUCAGGAAAUUUCUCCUUCAUUCUAAGUUGCUUCUCUCCUUGAUUAGUUUCCACUCAUUGCUUCUUGUUCUACCCUCAGGUGCUUUGGAGAACAGCCCGACUCCCUCUUCUUUAUGCAACCCCUGAGAUAUUGGAACACCGCUAUCAUGUCUCCCCUAGUCCUUCUUUUUAUUAAACUAGGCAUACUGAGUUCCUGCAACCGUUCUUCAUAUGUUUUAGCCUCCAGUCCCCUAAUCAUCUCUGUUGCUCUUCUCUGCACUCUUUCUAGAGUCUCAGCAUCUUUUUUACAUCGUGAAAAAUAUUGCAUUCAAAACUGAAUGCAAUAUUCCAAGAGUGGCCUUACCAAGGCAUUAUAAAGUGGUAUUAACACUUCACGUGAUCUUGAUUCUAUCCCUCUGUUUAUGCAGCCCAGAACUGUGUUGGCUUUUUUGGUAGCUACUGCACACUGCUGGCUCAUAUCAAAAUGGUUGUCCACUAGGACUCCAAGAUCCCUCUCACAGUUACUACUAUUGAGCAAGGUACCACAUAUAUGGUACCUGUGCAUUUUAUUUUUUUGGCCUAAAUGUAGAACCUUACUUUUUUCACUGUUGAAUUUCAUUUUGUUAGAUAGCACCCAAUGUUCUAGUCUGUCAAGAUCUUUCUUUAUCUUGAGCCUAUCUUCUGGAGUGUUGGCCAUUCCUGCCAGCUUGGUGUCAUCUGCAAAUUUGAUGAGUUCCCCAUCUAUCCCCUCAUCCAAGUCAUUGAUGAAGAUGUUGAAGAGUACGUACUGGGCCUAAAACAGAGCCUUGGGGUACUCCACUGCAUAAUUGUCUUUAGGGAAUGGAUUUGAAGAUGUAUAAUAUUAAUUUGGAAAGUUGAUUUUGAGGGAGAAAUUGAAAUGUUAUAAUUAAUUAGAAAUUAUUUGAUUAUAGUUGAGAUAUAUAUCAGAUUGAUAAAAUGUAAGUUUAGAUAAAUUAAUUGCAAUGUAUAUGGGCACACAGGAUUGGGGAUCAACCCACCGACACAAUGUAUUUGGAUUGACAACAAUUUUAUUUAUGUUUGUUUGUUAAAAAUAAAAAAAUAUAUAAAAUAAAGGCAAGAGAUGGGAGACACUCAUAUCAUUGUAAUGAUAUGAGUGAGAAGGAAGAAGAGAAAGAAGAUAGAUAAAUGUAUUAAUAGAAAAGCAAGAAAUGUGGGAGAAAUGUUAUAAUAAAUGAAAUGAUAAUAUUAAGAUAUGAUAAAUAGAACAGAACAGAACAGAACAGAACAGAACAGAAUAGAAUAGAAUAGAAUAGAAUUCUUUAUUGGCCAAGUGUGAUUGGACACACAAGGAAUUUGUCUUGGUGAAUAAGCUUUCAGUGUACAUAAAAGAAAAGAUAUGUUCAUCAAGAAUCAUAAGGUACAACACUGAAUCAGUGGUGGGUUGCCCCCGGUUCGCUCUUGUUCUGUAGAGCCGGUAGUAAAACUCUGCUGGCGUUCGGAGAACCGGUGGUAAUGGCUGGCUGGUCACACCCCUGAACCGGUUCUCUGAUCCUCAGAGGUUUGUGGGUUUGUUUUUUGUUUACUUUUAAAAG